ensembl:lncRNA
UUUACUGGCAGUUGUAAUCGAAGUCUAACAUUUCAGUAAAGCAUCGAGAAUGCAUUCCAGCUAUUUCUAUUCAACUCGCUAAAGCCAUGGAAAUGGCUAAUGAAAAAGCGACAACAGUUCAAGGCAGUCCAAGUAAUUUUGUUACUACAAAUCAAGCGUUCGGUCGGGACCUACACAAUACUGCUGGCUAGGAUGAAAAGUAUAGGCCGCAUGAAAGGUAGAACAGUCAACACAACACUGGUGUGCUGGGAUUAGUGCUAAAUCAGAUUAGUCUAAACUGUAUUGAUGAAGAAUGGAGCGGGACUUUGAAGAUGCAGCUGCAAGCCGAUACUGGACACAAAGGGAGAAACAUUGUUGUUGGACAAUCUGGACAAACCAGCAAAGAGGGACAUCAAACAGUGGACACGGAGCCGCAAGCCACAGAGAAGUUGCAGUUUGCCAGGGCAACUGAGGACAUUAUGUCUGAUAUGGAGACUGACCCCUGGAUUUUGGGUUUCCUCUUCUAGCUGGCGCUUUGCUGAGUUUGAGUACAUGAUCAAAUCAGCUGAUGAAUAAAGGAGAGCCAACCGCUCUUAUGGGAAAAGAGGUGUCGCCAAAACAACCAUCACAGCCCUACCAUGGACACCUGAUUGCUCAGAACAUUUAAAGAGAAGAGAAGCUGUGGUUUACCGGGCAACUGAGGACAUGAUGUCUGGUGUGGAUACUGGAUUUUUGGUUUCCUAAUCAAAUUAGCUGACCAGCGAAGGUCACUUGAACUGGACUGAUUUACACACACACACACAAGUCUCAAUUGCUGCUACCAGACACUCUAUAUUGUUUUUAGUAUCUUUAUUAGGGUGUAGUUUUUUUGUUGUCCAUUACAUAAAAUGUUUUGCUAUUUGUUUUUAGCCUUUCUAUUGGUGCAUUGCCUUGAGGUUAGUAUUGCUUAAAGGUUUUAUUCACAUUGACAAUUUAUUUUCUAUUGUUACUCCUCAAAAUCUGUACAUUAUUCCCAACUUUUGGCCACCAUGUGUCCUUUUGAGAUAUUUCUAUCCUUGUAUUGCUGUGUGGGAACCUGCAAACAAGCAUUUCCACUUUAAAUGUAACUAUUUGCACUUUAAUUACACUGCUGUUUUUAGUAAUGUGUCCCAAUAUUUAUUUGAUUUGAAUUAAUAUACGUAACAUAUUUUCUUGUAACCCUGUUAAAUUAUUUGUAAACUUUAAAGAAAGUUCUGAUGCUUCAUCGCUUUGAGGGC